UCCUGUACAGGCAAGCAGCUGGAAGACCCCCACAUCUCAGGCCUUACUUGAAGUGAACCCUGCCCUCUGGGAACUGGGUAGGGCUUUUGAACAGAUUUUAUUCUCAAUUGACACAUCACACCAUGGGUUUCAAAAAGCAUCACUUUGUCAGGGUUGGGAGAAUCUGGAAGGUGGUGUCCUAACCUUUCCUAUCAGUUCGAUGAAUUCGCAGACCGAUGAAUGAAGCAUAACAGUAAGAUGAGUACAGUUUAAAAAUGUUUGAAAACAAAUUCCAGAUACUUCCGUGCUGUGAUUCGAAGAAAUGUGUACAAAAAAAUUCACUCAAGUCAAUGGCCAUUUA